AGUGAACGCUGGCGGCGUGCCUAAUACAUGCAAGUCGAACGCGAAAGUCCUUCGGGAUGAGUAAAGUGGCGCACGGGUGAGUAAUACAUGGGAACAUGCCCUUGGAUGGGGAAUAACGUUUGGAAACGAACGCUAAUACCGCAUAAUCUCGCGAGAGUAAAGGUGGCGCCGCAAGGGCUACCGUCCAAGGAUUGGCCCAUGUCCCAUUAGCUAGUUGGCGGGGUAAUGGCCCAACAAGGCAACGAUGGGUAACUGGUCUGAGAGGUUGAUCAGUCACACUGGAACUGAGACACGGUCCAGACUCCUACGGGAGGCAGCAGUAGGGAAUAUUGCACAAUGGGGGAAACCCUGAUGCAGCAACGCCGCGUGAGUGAAGAAGGCCCUUGGGUUGUAAAGCUCUUUAGCGUGGGAAGAAGGUAGAUAUGGUGAACAAUCAUGUUUGCUGACGGUACCACGAGAAUAAGCACCGGCUAAUUUCGUGCCAGCCGCCGCGGUAACAC
rnacentral:rRNA from 1 species